UACGUAGGGGGCGAGCGUUGUCCGGAUUUAUUGGGCGUAAAGAGCUCGUAGGCGGUUCGAUAAGUCGGACGUGAAAUCUCCACGCUCAACGUGGAGGGGCCGUUCGAUACUGUCGUGACUCGAGUCCGGUAGGGGAGUGUGGAAUUCCCGGUGUAGCGGUGAAAUGCGCAGAUAUCAGGAGGAACACCGGUGGCGAAGGCGGGUCUCUGGGCCGUUACUGACGCUGAGGAGCGAAAGCGUGGGGAGCGAACAGG
rnacentral:rRNA from 1 species